CCUACGGGAGGCAGCAGUGGGGGAUAUUGCACAAUGGGGGAAACCCUGAUGCAGCGACGCCGCGUGGGCGAAGAAGCGCCUCGGCGCGUAAAGCCCUGUCAGCAGGGAAGAAAAUGACGGUACCUGAAGAAGAAGCCCCGGCUAACUACGUGCCAGCAGCCGCGGUAAUACGUAGGGGGCAAGCGUUAUCCGGAUUUACUGGGUGUAAAGGGGGCGCAGACGGCGAUGCAAGCCAGGAGUGAAAGCCCGGGGCCCAACCCCGGGACUGCUCUUGGAACUGCGUGGCUAGAGUGCAGGAGGGGCAGGCGGAAUUCCUGGUGUAGCGGUGAAAUGCGUAGAUAUCAGGAGGAACACCGGUGGCGAAGGUGGCCUGCUGGACUGCAACUGACGUUGAGGCCCGAAAGCGUGGGGAGCAAACAGGAUUAGAUACCCCAGUAGUC
rnacentral:rRNA from 1 species